CGCCUGUAAUGUUCUAGUAAAAAUAAAAAAGCAUAUUGCAAAAAUGUACUUCCUAUAAAAAUUGAAUCUUUUAAAGUCAUUUUGUAUUGAUAACCGUAUAGCAAAUUGCUGUUGUAGAAAGUCAAAUACAAAUUAAAUGUAGCUCGCUUCAAUACAGAAAUAUUAAAGAUAAAGCAUUUCGUUAAAAUUUAGUUACAAUUGAAUUAAAUGUUUAUGCACUUCUCACUCGCUCGUAAGCUAAGCUUGUCUUAACAUAUUCUCUCUUUAUACAAAUUAAUUUAAAUAUAUUUUUCCAAAUUAAAUUACAUAUUAUCAUUCAAAGUAAGUGUCAUAUAGUAACAGAAACUUUUCCCUUAAUUAACGAGAUAUGUCAGAAAUUUAUCUUCUCAAGCUAAAGAACAUUAAUACAAAAUUUCGAAACGUUCGAAAAUUUACUUGCAUCCUUUUAAAUUAAAUUUUUCCCUUUCUUUAUUGUAAUACUUAUUGAUUCAAGUGAAACUUUUGAGAAUAGCAUGCAUUGUUACAGUAUGUAUUAUGAGAUAAUUUGCAGUAACUUUUUCACCGUUUCUUACGUCAUAAAUAAACAGAGCGCAUUGCCAAUUUGUGCCCCGAUCUUCCCUGCUGAACUUUCCAUUAAAUCCUUUCAAUAACAUCAGAAAAACACAUCUCGCGAGAUAACCGGCCACGGAGAAAAGAGAUAAUGGCCGUUUUUUUUGUGUUCUAAAUUGCACAUUUUUACACGAGUCGAGAAUUUGUACGUGGUUAAAAUGUAAUCACCGCUCACGUUGCAGUACGUAAGUUAUUUUCGAAGCCGAAUGUAUACGCAUACACACCGGUACGGGGAGAGGAGGGAAUAGAGGAGAACGACACACGAAGGAGUUAACACACGUACGUGUAGUGCAUACAUAUGUAACGGAGCAUCCGUGCUCCGAGCAUUGCGUGCGGUCGUAAAUCACGGGAAAUACGAGUUGACUUUAAUGGCGACUGCGAUUUUUAUCCUCUGUCGAUGCGUGCGUAGUGGCGGACGCGAGAAAAGAAAGAAAGAGAGAGAGAGAGAGAGAGAGAGAGAGAGAAAAAGAAAUAAUUCGCCGCACACUCGAAGUGUUGAAAAUAUAUAUCCGACGUCGGGUCUGCGGAACAGCACGCGAGAGAUCGCGACCGAGUUAAAACAUUAAGAAACGCGCCGCGGCGCGUUUAAUUCUCGAGAUCUCGCGAGACGACCGCCCCUAUAGCAAAAAGAAAAUGUCGGCGAAACGGAGUUGUCGAAUGUCACAUUAGUAUUAUUUUUUUCCCCUCAACACGCUCCUCGCGAAAUACCGUCGCGACGGUAGCCAGGGGUUUUUUUUUCUCUCUUUAAGAAACGGGCACACUCCCGGGCACUCCCCCGCGAUUUAUUCAUUUUCUCAUUACGUAAGAGAUUAAGUCAUACAUUUUGACGACGUGUGCGCGACACGAUCGUAAGAUGCAAAAAGGCAGCAAUUUGCAGGAGGAAUUAAUGCAACUUUACUGCGACCACCGGCGGCCCUUCAUGUCGCAACUUCAAUAACACGAUGUUGCACAACGAGCAUCCUUACGUUUGUCAACCGCGCAGAAGAAAAAAAUUUCUUUUCCCUCUCCUUACGACAAUUUUUUUUAAAUUAUUUCGCCGUUUAUACUUAUUCGAGGCCAACGUACGGCGCGCCGUUAAUAUUCCCCUUUGUACGGGCCCGCUCGUAUUACUCCGGCGAAUUCGCGGGCGGUUUUAUGAACAAUUAAAACCCUCUCAACGAGGAUAUUAAAAUUUAUUAAGGAAGCGAAAGAUAUUUAUAUCGGCCGGUGUUAUAACCCCGGGCCCGCUUCGGGGAGAGGUAAAAGUUCGCUUUUACACGAAAGCGCGAAUCGCCCGUCGAGCGUUUUCGUCCCGAGGGCGCUUUUUCGACGGCGGCGCGUCGUAAACUCGAGAGGAAUGCUGUUAAAUACGGACCGCGGGUGUCGUGAAUUAAUUUAAUGACGUAAAUGACACCUUACGACAGCUUAAAUCAUUUUUUUUCACUCGUAAACGCACGCUUAAGGCCGAAGAAACGGCUGAGAGUGCGCGCUUAAAAUGUACAAUAUUGUGCAAGUAUCCGAGUUCCAAGUGUAACUAACAAAUUAGUUCGUUUAUCAAUCAAUUCAAUUAUUACGUAUAUGGAAAAAGGUGUUUCAAAUCUGAUAACGCGUGUUCGGAAAUUUUCAAUGAUCAGUACAAGCAUUUUUUAUCUUGAUUCUUGAAUAAAUAAAAACAAGUUUUAAAUAAAUAAUUAUUUUGAAUUUCAAAAAAUGCUAUUAUAAUUUGGUAAAAAAUUUUAUCAAUUUCUAUUAAAAUUUUACUCAAUUUCACUGGAGAGUUUAGUAAAGUCCGUCUGUUCUCCGUCUCGUGGAUCUUGAAAAAAAAAAAAGACAGGUUUACUGUCGCGUAGUGUCUCGUGGGAGAGCAUCACUAUAAAUUAUGUACAUAUCAGGGGCCGGCAACGAGUUACAAAUGCGCUUCGGUGAGAUACCGAACGGUGGUCGCGCAAUUUAUUCGCGCCGUGGUCCGAAGGUCGUUUAGGAGCUUUUAAAAUCACGAUCACCCCGCCCAAUUAGAGUGCGGGCGAGCAACACACAGAGCACACGCUCCUUAUAUUGUUCGCGCUCGCGUGCUCACUCGAGCAGUCGAGCAAAGCGUCGCACGAGUCGCGUUCCCGCCGGAAGAGUUAGGCCUAUAAAUCGCGACGCUCGUUGUUAGUCUGCUCCGGAUGCGGACCAUACCGGUAAUAAUGUAUCCCGUGGGGACUAUCGCGUGUCCGAGCGGCGACGACAUCCGGAUCAAGGGUCACCAGCCGAGCGGGUUUUAAACGAACGAACGGAGAACCUAAUCAUUGUCCGACGACGACGUCUCGGUGACUCGUCCCGCGGCGAAUUUAAUUUCUGAAUAAGAGAACCGAAUAGUUGAAACUAUUUAGAUCUCGUGCAGCUUUGCGAACGAGUCUGUAUGAUUCUAGAUAAAGGAAGAAAAAUAGAAGACACGGAUUAAAUCCAUAACGGAGUGCCGGUAUGCAACAUCCUCUCUUCAUCGAACGAGAUUAAACGGAAGAUAAUAUAUGAUCCUUCGUGUCAUGAUGACAUCAUCUGAUCCUGGACUAGUAGCUGGAGGUCUAAUAUCACGUUCAAACGCCACGUUAUAAAUCUACUUGGCGCGUGUUUCCUCGGCGAUUCUUAUUUACGACCGUAAGUUGGAAACGAGAGCGAGACGUAUUGACCUUCGCUAUUAUUCCGGGCCAACGAAUGAAAUUAAUUUACGAACAGCGCCGUGGAUUCCUCAAGCCUACUGGCGAUCAAUCACGAGCGACACGCUGCCGCUGAUGAAGAUAUUUAUAGCCGCGAUCAUGCGGCAAUCACUUUGUGACAUUAUAAUAGAUUCAGGCGCUGAUCAUUAGUGUGGCCCAGGGUAACACAUAAUUCGACCGGCGGUGUUCGAGUUAUGAUGCCUGCGCGUCUCGAUGUGUGCCGAUGUGUAGCCGAACAUAAAAAAUCCUCCUCCCGGGUGAGGCCGUUCACGGGACAGAGACCCCGAUUCGUGAAGGUCGUUCGAUGCCCUACGUAAUUCCUUUCGGAUUCCUGCACUUCCCUAAAGCAAUCUAAAUAGUUCAUCGAACGUUCUACCUACAUCUGUCAAUAAAAAUCCCAAUGAGCUCUUAACUGCAUGACUUACCAUGCAUCUUUCGAUGUUCAUCAACUCUAUUUGAAUUCAUUAUUCUACGUCUUUUCAAUAAUUGUUCCUACUUACACUGAAAAUGUCUGAUAAUAAUGGAACAUAGAUAAUACAUAAUUAAAUUUAAAUUUAAAAAUUUGUUUUAAUUUUAACGUUUAAUUUACUUCAAACGGUCCACUUCAAUUUUUGUGUUAAUUUAACACGAGAUGAAUAUAUUAGAAAGUAACACAUAUAUUAUAUUUAAAAAGUAAACAAAACAUGUAACACUUUAACACAAUUUGAAAGCAAAUUGCAUAGAUGUACUUCUUCAAUAAAAUUAACAUUUAAAUCUAA